UCUAUAGUCCGUAUGUGGUACAUUUUCUCAAUAGGUGCAGUGGCUAGUAUCACUCCACAUGAUAUGAAUGCAUCACGUGCUAUCUUAAAUGACUCUGUACUUGACAUCAUGUUUUACGUUAGCACUUGGUUUGGACCUGAAAUUCUUAAUGGUCUGCAUUGGCAGCUGCACAAGAAAUACGUACAACGAAUUUACAAGACGUAAUUUUGAUUUUAUUUCAAAUAAUGGAACAGUGUCAAUGUUUGCUCAUUUGCUUGGUAACUUGGUAACAUAAUGUGCUAUGACCUGAUGUAUGAGACCUGUAGUAUCAAUGGACUACUGGAGAAAAAGGAAAGAGAUUGUAAACCAAUGGACAUUGAUUUAUUAACAGAUCAUUAAAAAUGAGUCUGAUAAAAAGUUGAAGAGCUGCAGAAGUUAAGAAUAAGAGUUCCGAACUUGAAUUAGAGCUAGUGAUAAAGAAAGGGUUCAAUUCUCUUAAAGAUUAAAGUGGAUCACUUAUUUGCUGUUGAGUCUCCAUUGGGUAUACUCUUAAUGCUAAGGGAACACAGUCCACUAGUGAAGGAAAGCAAAGGAGCUGAUUCACUGCUGCCUUUUUCUAAGAAAUUCUUAAUGUACAUCAUCCUUAAGAUCCUGUGGCCUAUCGUUUGGAGUCCAGUAUAUGCUCAAGUGAAGCGGGUAAAGAUGGACGCUGCUAGUAGCAAACCAACACAAAAGUCAAUGAGUCUAAGCUGAAGGACCCAAGACACCAGAAGUGACACAGAAUACUAAGAGUAGCAGCAACAGCUGGACACAAUCACUGACAUUAGCUGUAGUAGCUUCUAGUAAUGGUGCCAAAACUUUUAAAUCAUUUUAAUAAUUUUAUUGUAGUGGAUAAUAGGCUAUAGUGAAUAUUAUUUUCCUACA
rnacentral:lncRNA from 1 species